AGGACGAACGCUGGCGGCGUGCUUAACACAUGCAAGUCGAGCGGUAAGGCCCUUUCGGGGGUACACGGGCGGCGAACGGGUGAGUAACACGUGGGUGACCUGCCCUUAGCUCUGGGAUAAGCCUGGGAAACUGGGUCUAAUACCGGAUAUGACCUCGCGAUGCAUGUCGUGGGGUGGAAAGCCUUGUGCGGCUAGGGAUGGGCCCGCGGCCUAUCAGCUUGUUGGUGGGGUGAUGGCCUACCAAGGCGACGACGGGUAGCCGGCCUGAGAGGGCGACCGGCCACACUGGGACUGAGACACGGCCCAGACUCCUACGGGAGGCAGCAGUGGGGAAUCUUGCGCAAUGGGCGAAAGCCUGACGCAGCGACGCCGCGUGAGGGAUGACGGCCUUCGGGUUGUAAACCGUCUUUCAGCCUGACGAAGCGAAAGUGACGGUAGGGCAGAAGAAGCGACCGGCCAACUACGUGCCAGCAGCCGC
rnacentral:rRNA from 1 species